GGUCAAAUAAUAUUUGAAGUGGAUUGAUUCAUUAUAUAUAGUCCCGAGGGCGGUGGGAGUACACUUUCAUAGGCCACGAUGUACGCAGGAGAGGGGAGGGGGGUGACGGGGAAGAGGGCUCCGACUCUCGGUACAAAAAUAGCAAAUUCGAAACACGAGGAAGGAUUGCGGGUGGGGGCGUUGACCGAUCACUUCCAGUUGUUGGCGACGAUGUCGGCGAGGUCGACGACCCUCUGGGAGUAGCCCCACUCGUUGUCGUACCAGGCGAUGACCUUGACCAUGUCGUCGCCCAUGACCAUGGUCAGAGAGGAGUCCACGGUGGAGGAGACGUCGCUGCAGCGGAAGUCGACGGAGACGAGGGGCUCGUCGCAGACGGAGAGGAUGCCGUUGAGCUCCUUCUCCGCGCUCUCCCUGAAGGCGGCGUUCACCUCCUCCGCGAAGGUCUUCUUGGAGACCUGGACGACGAGGUCGACGACGGAGACGUUGGGAGUGGGCACGCGGAGGGCGAUCCCGUUGAGCUUGCCCUUGAGCGACGGCAGGACGAGCGCCACCGCCUUCGCGGCGCCGGUGGAGGUGGGGACGAUGUUAAGGGCGGCGGCCCUCGCACGCCGGAGGUCGCGGUGGCUAGCGUCGAGCAGCCUCUGGUCGCCGGUGUAGGAGUGGGUGGUGGUCAUGGUGCCCUUGAUGAUGCCUGCCGUCGGAUAGAGAGGCUCUUACUUGCUAAACAACAAGCACAUUCUACCUCCCGGCCAUCGCCGGCGAUCGACUAGGGAAGGGGAAGAGGGGCGGAGGGGCUCACCGAACUUCUGGUCGAGGACCUUGACGAAGGGGGCGAGGCAGUUGGUGGUGCAGGAAGCGUUGCUGAUGAUCGGCUCGUCGGGGUCAUAGCCGUCGGCGUUGACUCCGACGACGUAGGUGGGGAUGUCUCCCUUCCCGGGGGCGGUGAUGAGCACCUUCUUUGCCCCAGCCUCGAUGUGCUUCCCGGCGCCCUCCCUGUCGACGAACACUCCUGUCCCCUCGAUCACCAGGUCAAUCCCCAGAUCCCUGCCGUCACACCAUACAUAUCCUUCAGAGAGCUGUCGAGAGAGAGAGCGAG
rnacentral:lncRNA from 1 species